AACGAACGCUGGCGGCAUGCCUAACACAUGCAAGUCGAACGAGACCUUCGGGCUUAGUGGCGCACGGGUGCGUAACGCGUGGGAACCUGCCCUUAGGUUCGGCAUAACUCCCCGAAAGGGGUGCUAAUACCGGCUCUUGUAUUCGGACCAAAGGUUUAUCGCCGUUGGAUGGGCUUGCGUUGGAUUACCUAGUUGGUAGGGUAAAAGCCUACCAAGGCGACGAUCCAUAGCUGGUCUGUGAGGAUGAGCUGCCACACUGGUACUGGGACACGGCCCGGACUCCUACGGGAGGCAGCAGUGGGGAAUACUGGACAAUGGGCGGAAGCCUGAUCGAGCAAUGCCGCGUGAGUGAUGAAGGCCGUAGGGUUGGAAAGCACGUUUACCCGGGACGAUAAUGACAGUACCGGGAGAAUAAGCUCCGGCUAACUCCGUG
rnacentral:rRNA from 1 species